rnacentral:rRNA from 1 species
CGCGUAGACGGCUGUCUAAGUCUGGAGUGAAAGUCCUGCUUUCAAGGUGGGAAUUGCUUUGGAGACUGGAUGGCUUGAGUGCGGAAGAGGUAAGUGGAAUUCCCAGUGUAGCGGUGAAAUGCGUAGAGAUUGGGAAGAACACCAGUGGCGAAGGCGACUUACUGGGCCGUAACUGACGUUGAUGCGCGAAAGCGUGGGGAGCGAACA